AGUUCUGGGGGCAGGAAGCCCAGUAUCAAGAUGCCAGCAGGAUUGGUGUCUGCCUUAACUCAUCCCAGCAUCAGCUCCAAAGUCCAGCCUAAUCUAAACAUCAUCUAACUCGGAGACGGUAAAACUGGAGCUUUAACUCCUGAGGCAAAUUCCUGUCCUGCUGUGAACCUGUGGAACCAGCAUGCACAGAACCUGUGUAAGAAGAGCGGCCCCACAUGCCAGGACAGUGCCCAGCUGCCAUGCGGGAGGCCGGUCAGCACCUGGAAGCUGAGCCUGCAAACCAUCCCCCCUGCAUUCAGACGGCACUGGGCGGGGAGCCACAUCAGGGUGCGUCCCUCACUCUGGAUGGGCCUCUGCUGAAGGCUGCCUGCAGGUCACCAGGGGAUCAGAUGCGUGUUUGUACUCAGUUUCCAAAGCCCCUCUAACUGGUCCCAUAUAAACACCAGUUUUCAAAGGCCCAGAAGAGCCAGAACGUCUCCAAUGGAAGGGAGCCUUUGCACCCAGAGGCGGGCUGAUGGGGGGGCAGAGGGGGAGAAUCCCACCAUCCCUGCAUUGGUGGGUCAGGAGAGUAGAGCGCCCCUCUCCAUCUUAUGGGAUGCAUGUGACUGGCAGCACAGGGUAGCCGUUUGGUACCCAGGCCUGGCAGAUUGCAGUGUUUAAGUUCUGGCUUUGCCUCUUCCUAGCAGAGUGACCCUGGGUUAAUAAGUUUCUCAAUAUCUCUGUUUCAGUUGUCUCCCCUGAGAGAUGGGAGAUGAAAAUAAUUCCCAUCUCAUGGGGUGACGAUAAAAAUUAAAUGAAUUGAUUCAAGUAAAAUGUUUAUACUAGUUCCUGGCACACAG